CGCUCUUUGAUUAUUUUAUAUAAAGAGUCGAGCCUGCCCAGUGAUUUUAUUUAACGGCCGCGGUACUCUGACCGUGCAAAGGUAGCAUAAUCAUUUGCCUUAUAAUUGAAGGCUAGAAUGAAUGGUUUGACAAGAAUAGUACUGUCUCCAUAUAAAUUUUAUAAAAUUUGGUUUUUAGGUGAAGAAACCUAAAUGGUAUUGAAAGACAAGAAGACCCUAUCGAGCUUAAAAUAAUUUAUUUGAAAUUUGUUAAUAUCAGCUUCAGGUAAAAAUUUUGGUUGGGGCGACUAAGGAAUAUAAAAAGCUUCCUAUAAAAUUUAGAAACUUUUAUGUUUUGAUCCAAAAAUUUUGAUUAACAGAAUUAGUUACCGUAGGGAUAACAGCAUAAUCUUUUUUGAGAGUUCUUAUCGAAAAAAAGGUUUGUGACCUCGAUGUUGGACUAGGAUAUCCAGAAAGGUGCAGAAGCCUUCAAUGGUUGGUCUGUUCGACCAUUAAAAUCCUACA
rnacentral:rRNA from 1 species